UAUUUGACAUGAUGACUUGCUGAAGUUCAAACCGAGCAUCAGAAUUGGUAAGAAUGGGGAUUUAAGUGAUUUUGAACAUGGCAUGUUUGUUGGUGCCAGACAGGCUGGUCUGAGUAUUUUCAAAAACUGCUGAUCUACUGGGAUUUUCACA